ACGUCAGGGACGAAGCUAGGGGCACGAACCGGAUUAGAUACCCGGGUAGUCCUAGGUGUAAACGCUGUGAACUUGGUGUCGGGGAUCCGUCAUGGGUCCCCGGUGCCGGGAGUGAAGAUGUUAAGUUCACUGCCUGGGGAGUACGGUCGCAAGGCUGAAACUUAAAGGAAUUGGCGGGGGAGCACUGCAACGGGAGGAGCGUGCGGUUUAAUUGGAUUCAACGCCGGAAAACUCACCAGGGCCGACUGUUAGAUGAAGACCAGUGUAACGAACUUGUCGGAUUUUCAGAGAGGUGGUGCAUGGCCGUCGUCAGUUCGUACUGUAAAGCGUUCUGUUAAGUCAGAUAACGAACGAGACCCUCAUCUCUAUUUGCUACCUGUCUCUCCGGAGACAGCGCACUAUAGAGAGACCGCUGGUGUUAAACCAGAGGAAGGCGAGGGCAACGACAGGUCAGUAUGCCCCGAAUGUCCUGGGCUACACGCGCGCUACAAAGGACGGGACAAUGGGAAGCCAGGCCGAGAGGCCGAGCUAACCCGAAACCCGUUCGUAGUUCGGAUUGAGGGCUGUAACUCGCCCUCAUGAAGCUGGAUUCCGUAGUAAUCGUGUUUCAAAAUAGCACGGUGAAUAUGCCCCUGCUCCUUGCACACACCGCCCGUCAAACCAUCUUAGUUGGGGGUGGGUGAGGCUGCGCUUCAUGGCGUAUUCGAGCCUGCCUUCGACAAGGAGGGUUAAGUCGUAACAAGGUAUCUGUAGGGGAACCUGCAGAUG
rnacentral:rRNA from 1 species